rnacentral:lncRNA from 1 species
UGUUUUCAUAUUCAUCUAUGAUUUAAUUUUUUACAUCCAUUUCAUCUCUAAGUAAAGUUCUAUUGAAUUUGAUGGUUUUUUUAAGGUAUAGAAGACUUGGAUUGAUGUGAGAGUACAAGAUCAUUUUACAUAGAGAUGCUUGAAGUUACUCUAAACCAGUACGAUGCUUCUAUCUGAUGUGUUAAUAUUUAUUUGUUGGCUUGAAGAUCAUUUUCCAAACUUGAAAGUUUAUUGAAUGCUCUUUGAAAUCUUUUCCAUCCGCUUUGAAAUUGGACAACCUAGUUGUUAUUAUCCAUGAUGUAAUUUAAACCUGGAAGUUUCUUCUUCUUUUUCUCACUUCUUCGAUGUAUUCGUAUUCUCCAAAAGAUGAAAAUCUUUUAUCUUAGUUAGAAAUAAAUUGGUUUUCUAGGAAGAAAUUGUUAUUUGAGAUAUAGUAUUUGAGUUAAUUCUUCAUCGUUUAAUGUUAUGAUUUAAGAUAAUUGAUGAAAACUAAUAAUACAUAGGAAAUUUUUGAAAGCAUCCUUAAUUUUUAAUAAGUAAAGUCUUGUUAGUUUUGGCCAUAAGAUCUUGCUAUGUAUUUACUACUUUUUGACCCUUUUUUUUUGUAUAUACAACUUUUUUUUUCUUGCCAGUUUGUCAUUAGCUUUAUGACACCAACACCAAUUACUAAUAAAUCUAGGGCUAUUAUUAAAUAAAAAAAUACAUAAACAUUAUUAAAACACCAAACUUGCAUAGUUACCUAGGGAAACCCUAUGACAAUAUCUAGAAAGGUGUAGUCCCUCCUAAAGUGGAGAUCUUUUGCUGGAUGACUAUUAUUAACAGACUCAACACCCAAGGUGUGCUGGUUAGAAGAAGUGUUUUGGAUAGAUCAGACUCUAACUGUCCUAAUUGCUUAGUUGAGGAAGAGUCGGUUCAUCAUUUAAUUUUACAUUGCCAUAAGCAUUGGAUCAUCUGGUCCAAAAUCAUCAAGUGGUGGGGAUUAUCAUGGUGCUGCCCAAAGAAUUUGUCAGGCUUAUUCUCUCAGUGGACUUUCAUGGUUCAUGGUAAAUUCCAGAAGAAAGCAUGGUUGAUGUUGUUUUUCUCAGUGGCGUGGU